AAUUUUCCACCAUUCAGGAUAUUAUUUGUCAGUUAUAGUCAUUUAACCCAACUUUCAACAUUUACAAGCAUUAUAGCACGUAGUACAAGUAUUUAAAGCAUCACCAUGUUAAAAAAUGUUGAAAACGUGUUAAAAGCAGAAAAAAAUAUGAGUGGCUUUUUUCAAACACCCUUUCUUUCUCCCUGAAAUAUCUAGAUCCAUUUUCAAAAUUCAAAUCUCACUCAUCAAAUUCUCCCCCCCCUCCCUCUCUCUUAUUGACAAUAGCAAAAUCGACUCUCAAUCAACAACUUGGUGCAAACCAUUUGCUUCGCCGUUUAACAGUCAUUGUUUAUGAAGGACAGUUCAAUACUUUAAUCUUGUUUAUGAAGGACAGUUCAAUACUUUAAUCUCUUUUCCGGAUUUCUUAGUUCUGAAAGGUCUACAACCAGCUCAGAAUCUUGAAUAUUUUUAAUUAUGCAACUCUUCAACCAGCUUAGAAUUUUUCUGCCCUUUGAUUAAUUUGAGGAAAGAUAAUUAAUUCCAGUUAAUACAAUGUUGACAUAUAAAGCAGAGAAAAAAGAAAAGGGGUCCACCAAAUAUAACCGAGCUCGACUCAUUCGUAAAGUACUUUUCUUCUGGACCUCAAUCGACUGAACCAACUUGGCUUUCAAGAUCACCACCAAAAAGGAGUCUAUAGAGUCAAAUCCCUCAGAUUUUUGUCGAACUGUGCUAUCACCUACAAGAAAAUCAAGAAGAGUGAGGCCUCACCCUAAAGGGUAUGAUGAUAAUUUAUUUCAACAAGAGAAGUUUGAUGACAUACGACGUACCUCGAUCGAGGUAUGCUUGAAUUGUAGGUGACAAGAUGGGUGGGCUAGGAAAGUUAGGUGAUAUGUAAAUAGCCAAUGUGUCAAAAGAAUGUUGCAAGCUCAUCAGGUUCCACAGUCGUUAUAUACAUCCGAUGAUAGUGUCAAAGGUGAUAAAAAAGCCUUUGCAACAGCUAAAAGUCUUCGUAAUUAUUUUUCAGCAGUGGUAAAAUUAGUUUCUCCAUUAAUAAAAUUUAAGUAUUUGAGUUGAAUAAAUUAUUUCAGGAAGCAAAAAGGUAUAGUAAUGGCUAUACUAAUGUUGGGGCAUCUAUACCUAGCAAAGACGGCCAAGACGUGCUUGAUGACUGCAAGUAUCUUCAUAAUUUGAUCGAGUCUAAUGAUGUAGUUUUUUGCUUAAUGAUACGAGAGAAAGUCGUCUGCCAACUCUAUUAUGUGCUGAUGCUAAUAAGCUUUUGUUUUCUUUGUCUAGGGCGUUAAAGUUUUUCAAAUUAAUACAUUAUAAAUGUACCAAUGAGGUGGUGGUCCAUUGUCAAAGGCAAAGCCUUUAAACACCUUGGGAGGUGGAGCUCAUGGGUUCGAGUCCCACAGACGAUAAGGAAUAAACGAAAUUUGUCUUUCAAAAAAAAAAAUACAUUAUAAAUGCAUAUAAUUAUGAUAUAUAAUGAUUUUUAAUUCAUUUUCCGUACUCCAGUGUUUAUGAACUAUGUAUGGGACUGGGCACGAAAUGUAAAGCAUCCACGCGAUCAAUCUGUUACCACAGUCCACAUAGAAUUGGUAUAAUCCUAGACAAGGAAUCAUUAUUAACAACCCAGAAGGUGUUGAUGUGUAUCAUGGAGUCCCAAAGGUUUGUGUUUCAUUCAUGAACAUUUACUUUAACCAACUUAAACUCAUGACUUUUUAAAUCUAACACACUAUGUUCUCUGAUCUGCCACAAGUCACUUGAAGAUGAUGACAUUGGGAUGAUGUGAAUGUCGACAACUUUAUUGUUGUUUUGCUCAGGUAUAAAACAAAAGUUAAAUGGCGGUCCAAAUGACCAGAUUUUUAUUUACUAUUCUGACCAUGGUGGUCAUGGACCCUUGGUGUGCUAGGUUCGCGACUAACUCCUUUAAAACUGAAAUUACUAAACUAAUUUAUUGCAAUUUUGUAAUUUUUUCUGGGAUGCCAACAAAACCUUACCUGUAUGCAAAUGAUUUUAAUGAGGUUUUGAAACAAAAGCAUGCUUCAGGGAACAUAUGAAAGCUUGGUAUGUAUUUCUAAUGUACUAUCAUAUGCUAUAGUAUAGCGAUGCUGAUUUUGGAAUUGAUAUAUUUUACCUCGAGGUAAUUUUAUAUUGAAGCCUGUGACUCUGGAAGUUUAUUGAGGAGGAUCCUCUUCCUCAAGGUUUGAUUAUUUUUGAAUCAUAACCUCAUUUAUUCAACCAAAUCUCUCCCCUUUCAGAAAGCCCCUAUCAAUAAGUAAGUAGAGUUUUAAUAAAAAAACAUCUUUAUCACAUUUAAACCUUAUUUGUGAAACUGGAAUUCUUUUAGUCAUUUUGUAGAGGAUCCCUGAAGUCUUUCAUUAAAGGGUUUCUUUCCAAAGAUAGUGUAGUAUUGUUUGGAUAGCUGAUAACUUUUAUUCGUGUUAGGGGCUGUUUGGUAGCCUCUUAAUGACCAUUCAGAUGCUACCUCUUAAUGGUUUAAAAUCUUUGAAUGAAUAAGAGGUAACCACAAGUCUGAAUGGUUAAGAGGUAACCUCUGAAUAGUAAACCAUCACAUGUCACAUUCUUCUACCUUCUCAUUGGUAAAAUUUUUAAUGGUUCCAUUAAGAGGUAGCCUCUUAAUGACCAUUCAGAGGCUACCAAACAGCCCCUUAAUUGGUAGUAAUGAUAAUUGUUAAAUUUGUGUUGCUUUUGUUUGCAUGGAUGAAGCAAGUUGGAUAGUUUGAUAACUUUUAUUCACGUUUUAAUAUUUAACUGAAUCAUCUUGCUUCAAGUUCUGUAAAUUUUGUAAGUAGUUAGUGAAUAGUUCAUAGUAUACCUGCUUUUUUGCUUCACUUUUUAUUAAGUCUAUCAGGCUUAAAGAAUUCUAAUGGGUAUUAAUAGUCAACUUGUUAUCAUUAAGUCGAUAUAACUGGGUUAUUUUCAGAUUUUCUUAUUUCUUUCUUCUUGAUGUAUUGAUUUUUCAUUCUAUAUUUAGACUAUUACAAUUUGUUAUUAGCAGGGCAAGGGUAACUGGAUUUUUGCUUCUUUUUUCUUGAUUGAUACAGAUAAAGGAGAAGUCAAGAGUUUCUUAGAAUUCAUCAGCUACAUAAAGGAAAAAUCAAGAUUUUAUUAGAAUUCAUCAGCUACACCUAUGAUGUAUUUGGUUUCACUGUUGAACUAAAGCUAUCAACAGUGUGUUUUAUUAUUCUAUAUUCACACCUAGCAUUCAACUAAUUCAAUAUUUUGUGGUUUUGGUUUAUCAAAGUUCAUCCUU